GACGAACGCUGGCGGCGUGCUUAACACAUGCAAGUCGAACGGAAAGGCCCUGCUUUUGUGGGGUGCUCGAGUGGCGAACGGGUGAGUAACACGUGAGUAACCUGCCCUUGACUUUGGGAUAACUUCAGGAAACUGGGGCUAAUACCGGAUAGGAGCUCCUGCUGCAUGGUGGGGGUUGGAAAGUUUCGGCGGUUGGGGAUGGACUCGCGGCUUAUCAGCUUGUUGGUGGGGUAGUGGCUUACCAAGGCUUUGACGGGUAGCCGGCCUGAGAGGGUGACCGGCCACAUUGGGACUGUGAUACGGCCCAGACUCCUACGGGAGGCAGCAGUGGGGAAUAGUGCACAAUGGGCGGAAGCCUGAUGCAGCAACGCCGCGUGCGGGAUGACGGCCUUCGGGUGGUAAACCGCUUUCGCCUGUGACGAAGCGUGAGUGACGGUAAUGGGUAAAGAAGCACCGGCUAACUACGUG
rnacentral:rRNA from 1 species